CAUGUCUUGAGGAAUGGGCCAAUUGUGAGUUUCACUUUGUAUGACUGUGUUUUAUAAUUGAUUCUAUGUCCAUACAAUUUAUUUUUGGCGUUCUUUGAAUUAUAGUGCAUGCCAACCUAGACUAUGAAGUAUUGGAGUAUUCAAUAUUGGAAUCACUGCGAAGGAGUUGCCUUAAUGGUUUUUUCUCCCUCAUCUAUUGUGAGGGAGUAAUUCAUUAUCCUAGCUAAGUAGACAUAUGGAACAAAAUUUCUCUCCUUAGGAAAGUUAAGGAUUUAAUAGUGAAAAUUAUGUUAUAACUGGUUGAUUGAUUUUAAAGCAUUAAAGUUCGACUAGUUUAAAAGAAAAUUUGAGAUACUCAUAGAAAGGUGUAAUUUUAAAUCCAUCUGAAAUAAGUUUUGAUUCACAUUUAUGAAUCUAGUCACAUCAAAAUGCCUUAAUUUGAAAUCCUUCAAUCCAAAUGUGACAAACUUAUUUGAAUUCCAUAAGAAGUGCUAUAUCUUGGCAUCUUUUCAUACCUAUGUUCAAUUAGAUAGACAAAACGUAUGUGAUUUCACGGAAUUCUCAUUGGCUAUAUUGCUGGUCUUAGAAAGCUAGUUUGUUAAAAUAUUAAUCUAAUUGCUUGAUGUAUUGAACCGUUUUUCCUCUUAUUGUAGUAUCAAUUGUUUUGUUUAUUUUAAUGUUUGAUGCUUGUGUCAGAUACUUGAAAUGGAUACCUACAG
rnacentral:misc_RNA from 1 species